rnacentral:rRNA from 1 species
UGGGAAUUUUGGACAAUGGGCGCAAGCCUGAUCCAGCCAUGCCGCGUGCGGGAAGAAGGCCUUCGGGUUGUAAACCGCUUUUGUCAGGGAAGAAAUCUUCUGAGUUAAUACCUCGGGAGGAUGACGGUACCUGAAGAAUAAGCACCGGCUAACUACGUGCCAGCAGCCGCGGUAAUACGUAGGGUGCAAGCGUUAAUCGGAAUUACUGGGCGUAAAGCGUGCGCAGGCGGUUUUGUAAGACAGAGGUGAAAUCCCCGGGCUCAACCUGGGAACUGCCUUUGUGACUGCAAGGCUUGAGUGCGGCAGAGGGGGAUGGAAUUCCGCGUGUAGCAGUGAAAUGCGUAGAUAUGCGGAGGAACACCGUGGCGAAGGCAAUCCCCUGGGCCUGCACUGACGCUCAUGCACGAAAGCGUGGGGAGCAAAACAGGAUUAGAUACCCCUGGUAGUCCACGCCCUAAACGAUGUCAACUGGUUGUUGGGAAGGUUCCUUCUCAGUAACGUAGCUAACGCGUG